UACGGAGGGUGCAAGCGUUAUCCGGAUUCACUGGGUUUAAAGGGUGCGUAGGUGGGUCUGUAAGUCCGUGGUGAAAUCUCCGAGCUUAACUUGGAAACUGCCAUGGAUACUAUAGGUCUUGAAUACUGUGGAGGUCAGCGGAAUAUGUCAUGUAGCGGUGAAAUGCUUAGAUAUGACAUAGAACACCAAUUGCGGAGGCAGCUGGCUACACAAAUAUUGACACUGAUGCACGAAAGCGUGGGGAUCAAACAGG
rnacentral:rRNA from 1 species